AAUAAAUAUAAGAUGAAAGAAGCAGCAGAAAAUUUCAGUGAUCGGGCUGAACUUUAUACGGAUAUCAUCGAGGUCGACCUGUUCGGACCUGUUGGCAUCAGCUGUUUUUGAUGGAUGGUUAAAUAUCGCAUACGAAAGGGCGGGUUAUAGGCUCUGCACACCGAGAUAGGCUCACGGCGGAACGUUUGAAUUUUUUGAAAUAUGUGAAAAAACACCUGAUACGCAAAAAAUACA
rnacentral:misc_RNA from 1 species